AUUGAACGCUGGCGGCAGGCCUAACACAUGCAAGUCGAACGAGUGGCGGACGGGUGAGUAAUGUCUGGGAAACUGCCCGAUGGAGGGGGAUAACUACUGGACACGGUAGCUAAUACCGCAUCCCAUCGGAUGUGCCCAGGUGGGAUUAGCUUGUAGGGGAGGUAACGGCUAACCUAGGCGACGAUCUCUAGCUGGUCUGAGAGGAUGACCAGCCACACGGGAAAGGAGACACGGUCCAGACUCCGACGGGAGGCAGCAGUGGGGAAUAUUGCACAAUGGGCGCAAGCCUGAGGCAGCCAUGCCGCGUGUAUGAAGAAGGCCUUCGGGUUGUAAAGUACUUUCAGCGGGGAGGCGUUACCCGCAGAAGAAGCACCGGCUAACUCCGUGCCAGCAGCCGCGGUAAUUC
rnacentral:rRNA from 1 species